GACGAACGCUGGCGGCGUGCCUAAUACAUGCAAGUAGAACGCAGUUGCGAACGGGUGAGUAACGCGUAGGUAACUGCCUGGUAUCGGGGGAUAACUAUUGGAAACGAUAGCUAAUACCGCAUACUACCAGAUGGACCUGCGUUGUAUUAGCUAGUUGGUGAGGUAACGGCUCACCAAGGCAACGAUACAUAGCCGGCCUGUGAGGAGGAUCGGCCAGACUGGGACUGAGGGACGGCACAGACUCCUACGAGAGGCAGCAGUAGGGAAUCUUCGGCAAUGGGGGGAACCCUGACCGAGCAGCGCCGGGUGAGUGAAGAGGGUUUUCGGAUCGUAAAGCUCUGUUGUUAAGGAAGCGGUACUUAGCCAGAAAGGGACGGCUAACUACGUGCCAGCAGCCGCGGUAAUUC
rnacentral:rRNA from 1 species